ncrna:unclassified sequences L2-Alphaproteobacteria ribosomal protein leader
GGGGACCUUCGGGGCCCUAUCAAUCGCGGCGCGUAAAGUGCUGCAUCUAUAACGGAAGACAGAAA